CUGUGAAAGAAUUUAUUCUUCCUGUGGAUGCUCCAGACAGCCUACAAGUAAUGGCUACUACAACCCUCCAGAGAGAUGGGUCUGAGUCACCUGGUUCUGGACAUCGCCCCGCUCCAACCCCCCUUGGAAUGCCAAUGUUUUUCCACUGGAAGACAAAGGGUUCCUGACAUACACUAAAGCUAUAUAAGGCAGGGGAGUGACAUCAUCAUGGUUCUCCUCUGCCUCCCCACCCAAAGAGACACUGGAAACACCUGAAAAGAAGAACUGAACUGAGAUGAGAAGGGCUGAGCCCAGGCUGGAAGUGCAUCUAGCUUGUGAGUAAUAAUACCUAAGGUCUCAAGCUGCAGGCCAGCACAGUUGGUUUUCAAGACUCUCUGUAAUCUGCCUGUGACAAUACUUAAGAGUGAGAAAUUACUAUUUGAGGCCAAUUUCUUUAGUGAAUCAAGCUUUGUUCACGUGUUUUGUUUUAUUUGCUAAGUAAUCUGCUUUGUUCUAUUCGCUAUUCCUUUAACCACUUAAAACCUACCUUUCAUCGUUAAUAAAAUUUGUUUUGUUUAUUAUUAAACCAGUUCAUGCAAUGUCUAA